rnacentral:rRNA from 1 species
UACAGAGGGUGCGAGCGUUGUCCGGAAUCACUGGGCGUAAAGGGCGCGUAGGCGGCCUGGCAAGUCUGUGGUGAAAGCUCGUGGCUCAACUGCGAGUCGGCCAUAGAUACUGCGAGGCUCGAGUCGACUAGAGGCAGAUGGAAUUCCGGGUGUAGCGGUGGAAUGCGUAGAGAUCCGGAAGAACACCGGUGGCGAAGGCGGCCUGCUGGGCAGUUUGCUGACACUGAGGCGCGACAGCGUGGGGAGCAAACAGG